GCGAGCAAAAUCCGGCAGCUGCACCCGAUCCCUGAACCAGGUGCAGAUCUGAAAAAAUCCGGAUCAGCGACUUCACACCCGCGCACAGGAGCACGAGCUCCUCGUGCAUAUCAGCAGCGCACAGACCAUCUAUGGCGUGAGAC